rnacentral:rRNA from 1 species
UACGAAGGGGGCUAGCGUUGCUCGGAAUUACUGGGCGUAAAGGGCGCGUAGGCGGACAGCUUAGUCAGAGGUGAAAGCCCAGGGCUCAACCUUGGAAUUGCCUUUGAUACUGGCUAUCUUGAGUUCGGGAGAGGUGAGUGGAAUGCCGAGUGUAGAGGUGAAAUUCGUAGAUAUUCGGCGGAACACCAGUGGCGAAGGCGACUCACUGGCCCGAUACUGACGCUGAGGCGCGAAAGCGUGGGGAGCAAACAGG